AUUGAACGCUGGCGGCAGGCUUAACACAUGCAAGUCGAGCGGAGAGGGGUAGCUUGCUACUGAUCUUAGCGGCGGACGGGUGAGUAAUGCUUAGGAAUCUGCCUAUUAGUGGGGGACAACAUUUCGAAAGGAAUGCUAAUACCGCAUACGUCCUACGGGAGAAAGCAGGGGAUCUUCGGACCUUGCGCUAAUAGAUGAGCCUAAGUCGGAUUAGCUAGUUGGUGGGGUAAAGGCCUACCAAGGCGACGAUCUGUAGCGGGUCUGAGAGGAUGAUCCGCCACGCUGGGACUGAGACACGGCCCAGACUCCUACGGGAGGCAGCAGUGGGGAAUAUUGGACAAUGGGCGCAAGCCUGAUCCAGCCAUGCCGCGUGUGUGAAGAAGGCCUUAUGGUUGUAAAGCACUUUAAGCGAGGAGGAGGCUACUUUAGUUAAUACCUAGAGAUAGUGGACGUUACUCGCAGAAUAAGCACCGGCUAACUCUGUGCCAGCAGCCGCCGUAAGAC
rnacentral:rRNA from 1 species